rnacentral:sRNA from 1 species
UAAGAGCUACCCAUCUAAAGAGGACACUGUAGAGGUUGAGUUUGAGCUCUGAAGCCAAACUACUUAUGUUAAAAUCCUGUGUAAUUAUUGGUUCCGGUGUGUGGUCUACCCUUUUAAACCAAAGCUCACUGUAAAGACAGCGUUUGUCAUUAUUAUGAUCAUCUGGGUCCUAGCCAUCACCAUUAUGUCUCCAUCUGCAGUAAUGUUACAUGUGCAAGAAGAAAAAUAUUACCGAGUGAGACUCAACUCCCAGAAUAAAACCAGUCCAGUCUACUGGUGCCGGGAAGAUUGGCCAAAUCAGGAAAUGAGGAAGAUCUACACCACUGUGCUGUUUGCCAACAUCUACCUGGCUCCCCUCUCCCUCAUUGUCAUCAUGUAUGGAAGGAUUGGAAUUUCACUCUUCAGGGCUGCAGUUCCUCACACAGGCAGGAAGAACCAGGAGCAGUGGCACGUGGUGUCCAGGAAGAAGCAGAAGGUCAUUAAGAUGCUCCUGAUUGUGGCCCUGCUUUUUAUUUUGUCAUGGCUGCCCCUGUGGACUCUAAUGAUGCUCUCAGACUACGCUGACCUUUCUCCAAAUGAACUGCAGAUCAUCAACAUCUACAUCUACCCUUUCGCACACUGGCUGGCAUUCGGCAACAGCAGUGUCAAUCCCAUCAUUUAUGGUUUCUUCAACGAGAAUUUCCGCCGUGGUUUCCAAGAAGCUUUCCAGCUCCACCUCUGCCAAAAAAGAGCAAAGCCUAUGGAAGCUUAUGCCCUAAAAGCUAAAAGCCAUGUGCUCAUAAACACAUCUAAUCAGCUUGUCCAGGAAUCUACAUUUCAAAACCCUCAUGAGGAAAACUUGCUUUGUAGGAAAAGUGCUGAAAAACCCCAACAGGAAUUAGUGAUGGAAGAAUUAAAAGAAACUACUAACAGCAGUGAGAUUUAAAAAGAGCUAGUGUGAUAAUCCUAACUCUACUAUGCAUUAUAUAUUUAAAUCGAUUGCUUUUUGUGGCUUUGCACUUCAAAUUUUUCAAAGAAUGUUCUAAAUAAAACAUUUACUGAAAGCCCUCUCUGGCAAAAAAACAAAAAUAAACAAAAAUGGUCAUAAGAUCAUAAACAAUCUUAUGUUGUAUAAAAUUACGUAGAGUGACUUAGACAUGUUUGCAUGAAUAAAUAUAUUUCUAGAGAACA